rnacentral:rRNA from 1 species
CACGUAGGGCGCAAGCGUUGUCCGGAAUUAUUGGGCGUAAAGAGCUCGUAGGCGGUCUGUUGCGUCCGCUGUGAAAACUCGGGGCUUAACCCCGAGCCUGCAGUGGAUACGGGCAGACUAGAGGUAGGUAGGGGAGAAUGGAAUUCCCGGUGUAGCGGUGAAAUGCGCAGAUAUCGGGAGGAACACCGGUGGCGAAGGCGGUUCUCUGAGCCUUACCUGACGCUGAGGAGCGAAAGCGUGGGGAGCGAACAGG